CAGCAGCCACGGGAAUACAGAGGGUGCGAGCGUUAAUCGGAUUUACUGGGCGUAAAGCGUGCGUAGGCGGCUAAUUGAGUCGGAUGUGAAAUCCCCGAGCUUAACUUGGGAAUUGCAUUCGAUACUGGUUAGCUAGAGUGUGGGAGAGGAUGGUAGAAUUCCAGGUGUAGCGGUGAAAUGCGUAGAGAUCUGGAGGAAUACCGAUGGCGAAGGCAGCCAUCUGGCCUAACACUGACGCUGAGGUACGAAAGCAUGGGGAGCAAACAGGAUUAGAUACCCCCGUAGUCCCUGUCUCUUAUAC
rnacentral:rRNA from 1 species